UACGGAGGGUGCGAGCGUUGUCCGGAAUCACUGGGCGUAAAGGGCGCGUAGGCGGCGCGGUAAGUCAUCGGUGAAAGUUCAGGGCUCAACUCUGAAUCGGCCGGUGAUACUCUCGUGCUUGAGCACUGUAGAGGCAGGUGGAAUUCCGGGUGUAGCGGUGGAAUGCGUAGAGAUCCGGAAGAACACCGGUGGCGAAGGCGGCUCACUGGCCCGGUACUGACGCUGAUGUGCGAAAGCGUGGGGAGCAAACAGG
rnacentral:rRNA from 1 species